GAAGGUGUCUUGUGAAGGAUGCUGGAGGUAUCAGAAGUGCGAAUGCUGACAUGAGUAGCGAUAAUGGGGGUGAAAAGCCUCCACGCCGUAAGCCCAAGGUUUCCUGUUCAACGUUCAUCGGAGCAGGGUGAGUCGGCCCCUAAGGCGAGGCAGAGAUGCGUAGCUGAUGGGAAGCAGGUUAAUAUUCCUGCACCGUCGUAUGAUGCGAUGGGGGGACGGAUCGCGGAAGGUUGUCUGACUGUUGGAAUAGUCAGUUUCUGGUUCAUAGGAGGUACUUAGGCAAAUCCGGGUACAUAAUCCAAGGGGCUGGGACGAGCGG
rnacentral:rRNA from 1 species